rnacentral:rRNA from 1 species
UACGUAGGGGGCGAGCGUUGUCCGGAUUUAUUGGGCGUAAAGAGCUCGUAGGCGGUUCGGUAAGUCGGAUGUGAAAUCUCCACGCUCAACGUGGAGGGGCCAUUCGAUACUGCCGUGACUCGAGUCCGGUAGGGGAGUGUGGAAUUCCCGGUGUAGCGGUGAAAUGCGCAGAGAUCGGGAGGAACACCCGUAGCGAAGGCGGCACUCUGGGCCGUGACUGACGCUGAGGAGCGAAAGCGUGGGGAGCGAACAGG